CACGCCUCUCUCUUCCUUUUUUUUUUUUGAUUUUAGAAAUUGAAUAAUGUAUGUUAUAAAGAUCUUUACACAAUUCAUUUGAUUAAGAAUCUAAGAUAUUCACAAGAAUCCCAUUGAUUGAGUGUUUUGGAUAAGGAAAACAUCAAGGAUCCUCUGUAAUGACCCUCUAAGAGGAUUAUAAGUGGUAUCCCACUUAAUCAUCAAUUUUCUAGAUCCAAGCAUAUACAAGGCUGACCAUUACUAUUAACCAGUAUCGGCAGAAUGUUGGCGUUGUUGGUGUUUCUCGCCACCGAUCUCACAGUCAUCGAUCACUCAGAACACAAAUUAAAUGACAACAAAUUUUGUAGUUUUAUUUUGCUCAUUUUGUAUUUCAGUGUCACAAUGUAAACAUACAAGUUUGUAUUUCUUUUUAUUUUGUAUUCAUAGUAAUGGUAUACCAACAAGUUUGUAUUCCAAUAGAGUUGAGUAUCAUUUGUGCCCUUUGUUGUAUUUCAAUCUCGCUUUUUAUGUGAAACUUAAUU